rnacentral:rRNA from 1 species
ACAGUGUCUGGUGGGUAGUUUGACUGGGGCGGUCUCCUCCUAAAGAGUAACGGAGGAGCACGAAGGUUGGCUAAUCCUGGUCGGACAUCAGGAGGUUAGUGCAAUGGCAUAAGCCAGCUUGACUGCGAGCGUGACGGCGCGAGCAGGUGCGAAAGCAGGUCAUAGUGAUCCGGUGGUUCUGAAUGGAAGGGCCAUCGCUCAACGGAUAAAAGGUACUCCGGGGAUAACAGGCUGAUACCGCCCAAGAGUUCAUAUCGACGGCGGUGUUUGGCACCUCGAUGUCGGCUCAUCACAUCCUGGGGCUGAAGUAGGUCCCAAGGGUAUGGCUGUUCGCCAUUUAAAGUGGUACGCGAGCUGGGUUUAGAACGUCGUGAGACAGUUCGGUCCCUAUCUGCCGUGGGCGCUGGAGAACUGAGGGGGGCUGCUCCUAGUACGAGAGGACCGGAGUGGACGCAUCACUGGUGUU